GCGGCCGUGGCGAAAUGGCAGACGCGCUGGUCUUAGAAGCCAGUGGGGCAACCCUUGGGGGUUCAAAUCCCUCCGGCCGCA
rnacentral:tRNA from 1 species